AAUGAACGUUGGCGGCGUGGAUUAGGCAUGCAAGUCGAGGGAGAACCCGCAAGGGGGACACCGGCGAACGGGGUAGGAUCACGUAGGUGACGUACCCUCAGGGCGAGGAUAGCCACGGGAAACUGUGGGUAAUACUCGAUAACCUUCCCAAUCGUGAUAGAAGGGGAAGCAAUGGGUGUGAUUCCACCUGAGGAGCGGCUUACGCAGUAUCAGCUAGUUGGUGAGGUAACGGCUCACCAAGGCUUUGACGCUUAGGGGGGUGUGAGAGCAUGGCCCCCACCACUGGCACUGAGACACUGGCCAGACACCUACGGGUGGCUGCAGUCGAGAAUCUUCGGCAAUGGACGAAAGUCUGACCGAGCGACGCCGCGUGCGGGAGUGAAGGUCUUCGGAUUGUAAACCGCUGUCAGAGGGGAGUGAAGUAAUAUGAAAGACUAUCUUUUAUUAUUUGUACAGAGCCUCAGAGGAAGCACGGGCUAAG
rnacentral:rRNA from 1 species